CUUUACAUGGCACCGUAGCCCCCUUUUUAUCUCCUCCCUUGGGAAAAGCCACAUCUAAUAUUUCUGUUGCUGUACCCACUGAGUUCUCAAUAUCUUCUCCCUAAACACAAAAAACAUUUUCCACUUCCCUGGUCCAAAGAAGGGAAGAGACAAAUUGCUACAGAGUUGGAAUCAACCCGCUGAUCUGAAAUCCUCAGAAGACUCAUUUGGGCUGGAGAAGGAGCAAUCCGCAGGAAAUUUCAGCCCUAAUUUUCGCGAAACCCGCAGACACUCUCAGCCUUGCUCAGGCCCAGUAGGAGGCCCUUUGUCUCCGCCCUCAUCCAAUCAGCGUCCAGCGUCUCUUCCCUCCAGCCAAUCAGCAUCGCUGGGAGCAACCUAUAUCCUAAUUUGCCCUCGUCCCUUGACAUUCAGUGGGCGGUGCCGCGCGCUGCGGCCAAUCACACCCGACCGUGACCGGCCAGUGCCCUCUGUGAUGGCAUGUGGGCGGGCUGCGACGGUCUGUAAGAGAUGCAGGACUGUGCUCUGCUGUGGCUAGCCGCGCCACUCCCGUCGCGUUUGUGUUCUUCGGCUGCAGAUUCAGAGGAAGCCGGCAACCAAGAGAUUCGCCAGCCGGAAUGUUGCAGCAGCAGGGGUGCUCUCCGCGGUUGCGGCCGUGGGCACGGCGGAGUACGCGACUCUGGCUGCAGGGCAACAUUAUGCUCCAGGUUCUGAAGGAACAGCUGCCCAGCGACGCCGUCGUCAUGCUGCACGUGGUGGAGCGGGACCUCUUUGACCACAUCGUGCGCGAGGCGACCCAGCUUAGGCGGGAGAGCGCUGAUGAGCGCGGCUAUAGCAGAGAUCCGAGCACCUGGGCCUUGGAUGUGUUGCAGACGAAAUGGUGUUUCCAGAGUAAAGGCUCAGGGAAGGAGAAAACAUUUGAGAAAGCCAGGGAAGUCAUGGGCGCAGGAAAAGGUCCAAGCAGUCGUGGGAGGUUAGAAUCCAGGCACCUGGACCACUCCUGCUGCCUCACUCCCUGGCGAAGUCAGAAAUAAAAUCUGAUUCACUUUCAGUAGAAGCUGGCUUGUGUGCUGCUUUGUCAGGUGGAAGUCUCCACUGGGUGGGUGUG
rnacentral:lncRNA from 1 species